UACGGGGGGGGCGAGCGUUGUUCGGAAUUAUUGGGCGUAAAGGGCGCGUAGGCGGUUUGCUAAGUUGGAUGUGAAAACUCUGGGCUUAACCCAGAGCCUGCAUUCAAAACUGACAGGCUAGAGUUCUGGAGGGGAUAGCGGAAUUCCUGGUGUAGCGGUGAAAUGCGUAGAUAUCAGGAGGAACACCGGUGGCGAAGGCGGCUAUCUGGACAGAAACUGACGCUGAGGCGCGAAAGCUAGGGGAGCAAACAGG
rnacentral:rRNA from 1 species